GAAGAAACGCAUAACCUCCUUUUUGUUCAUCUGCAAUGUUUCCUCCACAAACUGCUUAACAGCUCCACGUUCAAGUUUCAGGUCGAAGAUGCCUCUGAAUUUUACUCCUCUUAAAUCUAAAUUCUUUGAAAAAAGAAUGGAAGAUCAGAGUUCUAAUAGCCCGAACAUACGUCUUUGGAGAUUUCCAAAAAAGGAUAAACCAGAAGAAUUUUCAGGAAUAUAAUCUUCUCCUUGUUGAUGAAAAGGGAAGUAGGAUACAAUCCAAAACUUAACAGUGCUCUCUCUCUCUCUCUCUCGACGCAGUUAUUUGAGCUAUUUUCUGAUUGGAGAUUAUGUUGUUUCCCAUGGCGACGAGUUGGGAUAAUGUUUUCAUGCUUCUUGGCCUUUCUCGUCGAAUCAGUAGCUUUUGCCUCGGUGAGUGAGGUUCUUAUAGUUCGCUUCAUUUCUUAGAGUACAAAAAAUUGGUUGCCUGAGUUUUUCAUUCUUAAACGAUGUAAAGCAUCUUUGUGUCUAUAUAUGUCACCACUCUCUUAUAAGUUACAUGAUUAUUUUGUUUGCAAAUCUAAU